rfam:Amborella trichopoda AMTR_V1.0_contig_39004, whole genome shotgun sequence.
CUAUAUGGAUGAUGAGAACAUGAAGAGAACAGUUAUCCCUGUCUGAUGCUUAAAUGCUGAUCUUUUCAAAUCUGACACAUGG